GACGAACCUGACAAACGUUAUUCGGAAUUACUGGGCUUAAAGGGUGCGUAGGCGGCGCGACAAGUUGGGUGUGAAAUCCCUCGGCUCAACCGAGGAACUGCGCUCAAUACCGUCGUGCUCGAGGGAGACAGAGGUGAGCGGAACUUAGGGUGGAGCGGUGAAAUGCGUUGAUAUCCUAAGGAACACCGGUAGCGAAAGCGGCUCACUGGGUCUUUUCUGACGCUGAGGCACGAAAGCUAGGGUAGCGAACGGG
rnacentral:rRNA from 1 species